rnacentral:rRNA from 1 species
GACAGAGGCCUCAAGCGUUAGGCGGAAUCACUGGGCUUAAAGCGUGUGUAGGCGGAUCGUUAAGUGUCUUGUGAAAUCCCACGGCUCACCCGUGGAACUGCUGGGCAUACUGGCGAUCUUGGGCCAACUAGGGGCAACUGGAACAAGCGGUGGAGCGGUGAAAUGCGUAGAUAUCGCUUGGAACGCCGAAGGUGAAAACAGGUUGCUGGGGUUGUGCCGACGCUGAGACACGAAAGCCAGGGGAGCAAACAGG